rnacentral:lncRNA from 10 species
ACAGCACAUGUGUGGCUGGGCCAGCUGGGACAGCAUCACUCUACUGUGCAAACCUCCAGGGGACCAGGAGUGGGGCUCCGAGGAGGAAGGCAGAGAAAAAGAUGAAACCUCAGUUGGUUUGGAAACAGAGAUGGCUGCCAAACUCAUACCAGAAGCUGGGAGGAGUUUCUACUAAUGAUCACGGCAGAGGACAAUGUUGGAGAGAAACUUGUGACUCAGGGACCAGGGAUGAAGGUAGAAACAUUGAAUUGCCAGUAUGAGAGUCUCCAACUCUUCUUCCCUUGCCUCAGCAAGCAUGAGACCACCUGCUACGCAGAAGGACCAUGCCGACCACAUCACAGCUGUCUGCCUGGAGCCACAGGCGACUUGGUAUGAGCAGGAAAUAAACUUCUCUCAAGCUGUGAGGUUUUGACAUUAUUUGUUACUGCAGCACAAUCUAGCUUAUCCUGAAUAAUUCAAUGACAAAGAACAUCUAUCUCAGGCCAAGAGUCAACAUCUCAUUUAACAUUAAAAUACUGGAAGCAGCCGGGUGCGGUGGCUCACACCUGUAAUCCCAGCACUUUGGGAGGCUGAGGCGGGCGGAUCAUGAGAUCAAGAGAUCAUCAACAUAGUGAGACCCCCAUCUCCACUAAAAAUACAAAAAUUAGCUGGGCUUGGUGGCGCAUGCCUGUAGUCCCAGCUACUCGGGAGGCUGAGGCAGAAGAAUUGCUUGAACCAGGUAGGCGGAGGUUGCAGUGAGCCAAGGUUGCGCCACUGUACUCCAGCCUGGGCG